UGAGCUAAUUUUUUCCAAAGGGAUAGUUUAGUUAUGUCCAAAAAUAAUAAGAAAAACGGUUAUGUAUAUGUAUGUAUAAAUGAUACAUUACAGGACAAUAAUUUCUCUUUUCAUGGAAAAUUCGACAAAGAUAGUUCAAAAGGGAAAAAAAAAACACCACCAAUCAGCAGCUACAGAACUCCAUAAUAGCUUUAUUGUAGUUAAAUUUUAUUUUUUUUU